GUGAGUGUCUGGCAGGAAGAAGGAGUCGCAGAUACUGGCAAAAGAGAAAAGCCUGGCAGAGAGAGCCACAUGGUGGACAGAGAUAGAGACUAGAGAACUGCUGGUGGGCCCAGAGAGCUGAGAGGCUCCACCAAAAGCAGACAUUUGGUUCAGGCUGGCACAGAGAAGCCACAUACUGUGCCUGGAGUAAAUGGAAACAGAUUGGAGAAACCAACAUCAGCAAGGGAUUUCCAUCUGAGCAUCCAAAGGGGCUGGUAGUCGCACUGUAUGUCUGAAUGUACUGGAGUCAUCUGAAGAGAACUCUCUAAAUUAUCCAAAGAGGGUUUGGAAAAAAGGAAUAGUAUUUGGAGCAUCUUUGACAGAAGAAGGAAUUGCACAAAUUUACCAGCUUAUAGAUUAUCUACAUAAAAAUCUGCGUACUGAGGGAUUGUUUCGUAUUCCAGGGGACAGCCAUCAACAACAAAUUAUUAAAGACUUGCUCAACAGUGGAAUGGAUAUUGAUGUGGAGUCUGGAGAGUUUCAUCCUAAUGAUGUAGCCACUUUACUAAAAAUGCACCUCAGUGAAUUGCCAGAGCCUUUGCUGACACACAGGCAUUAUAACGCUCAUUUAAAAAUUACCUAAUGCUUUUCGAUGCCAAGUGUAAUAGGACAGGCGUACCAGAUUAAGAGCGACAGAUCGAGGCAUUGCAACUUCUUUUCCUGCUUCUCCUUUCACCAAACAGAAAUCUACUGAAACUACUGCUGGACCUUCUCUAUCAGACAGCCAGAAAACAAGAUCGCAAUAAGAUGUCUGUCCAUAACCUUGCUUUCAUGUUUGCACCUCAUAUAAUAUGGCCUAAAAUGUAGUCAUCAAUAGGAAAAAAAAAUUAAUUUAAAAAAAAAAAUAACAAUGUUCUUAUUAA